rnacentral:rRNA from 1 species
UACGUAGGGGGCUAGCGUUGUCCGGAAUCAUUGGGCGUAAAGCGCGCGUAGGCGGCCCGGUAAGUCCGUUGUGAAAGUCAAAGGCUCAACCUUUGAAAGCCGACCGAUACUGUCGGGCUAGAGUCCGGAAGAGGCGAGUGGAAUUCCUGGUGUAGCGGUGAAAUGCGCAGAUAUCAGGAGGAACACCAGUAGCGAAGGCGGACUC